GAUGAACGCUAGCUACAGGCUUAACACAUGCAAGUCGAGGGGCAGCAUGGUCUUAGCUUGCUAAGGCCGAUGGCGACCGGCGCACGGGUGAGUAACACGUAUCCAACCUGCCGUCUACUCUUGGACAGCCUUCUGAAAGGAAGAUUAAUACAAGAUGGCAUCAUGAGUCCGCAUGUUCACAUGAUUAAAGGUAUUCCGGUAGACGAUGGGGAUGCGUUCCAUUAGAUAGUAGGCGGGGUAACGGCCCACCUAGUCUUCGAUGGAUAGGGGUUCUGAGAGGAAGGUCCCCCACAUUGGAACUGAGACACGGUCCAAACUCCUACGGGAGGCAGCAGUGAGGAAUAUUGGUCAAUGGGCGAGAGCCUGAACCAGCCAAGUAGCGUGAAGGAUGACUGCCCUAUGGGUUGUAAACUUCUUUUAUAAAGGAAUAAAGUCGGGUAUGGAUACCCGUUUGCAUGUACUUUAUGAAUAAGGAUCGGCUAACUCCGUGCCAGCAGCCGCGGUAAUACGGAGGAUCCGAGCGUUAUCCGGAUUUAUUGGGUUUAAAGGGAGCGUAGAUGGAUGUUUAAGUCAGUUGUGAAAGUUUGCGGCUCAACCGUAAAAUUGCAGUUGAUACUGGAUAUCUUGAGUGCAGUUGAGGCAGGCGGAAUUCGUGGUGUAGCGGUGAAAUGCUUAGAUUUCACGAAGAACUCCGAUUGCGAAGGCAGCCU
rnacentral:rRNA from 1 species